ensembl:misc_RNA
CUGGAACUAAUUACGGAGAGGAUAUGUCUCAAUUUGUUCCGCAUUAGUGCCGCGCCGGGACGCAGGCACCGAGCACGGGAAAUUGAUGGGCCCGGCCCGGCCCAGCCCCGAAGGGACGGCGGCCCUGACCCCGCGUUCAAG